UUUUUUAAAGAAAAUUUGGCCUUCCAACAAGGGAAGGCCAAGGAACUUCCUU
rfam:HIV-1 clone TZBFL0170 from Tanzania, partial genome.